rnacentral:rRNA from 1 species
CCUACGGGAGGCCGCAGUGAGGAAUAUUGGUCAAUGGGCGGAAGCCUGAACCAGCCAAGUCGCGUGAGGGAUUAAGGCCCUGCGGGUCGUAAACCUCUUUUGCCGGGGAGCAGAGGUCCGGACGUGUCCGGGCCGGGAGAGUACCCGGAGAACAAGCAUCGGCUAACUCCGUGCCAGCGGCCGCGGUACUACGGAGGGUGCGCGCGUUAUCCGGAUUUAUUGGGUUUAAAGGGUGCGUAGGAGGUUCGAGAAGUUAGAGGUGAAAUCCCGGGGCUCAACUCCGGCACUGCCUCUGAUACUGGCGGGCGAGAGUUUAGUUGCGGUAGGCGGAAUGUAUGGUGUAGCGGUGAAAUGCAUAGAGAUCAUACAGAACACCGAUUGCGAAGGCAGCUUACCAAACUACGACUGACGUUGAGGCACGAAAGCGUGGGGAGCAAACAGGAUUAGAUACCCUUGUAGUC